rnacentral:rRNA from 1 species
CCUACGGGUGGCAGCAGUGAGGAAUAUUGGUCAAUGGUCGGGAGCCUGAACCAGCCAAGCCGCGUGAGGGAUGAAGGUACAGAGUAUCGUAAACCUCUUUUGUCAGGGAACAAAGGCGGGGACGUGUCCCCGGAUGAGUGUACCAGAAGAAAAAGCAUCGGCUAACUCCGUGCCAGCAGCCGCGGUUAUACGGAGGAUGCGAGCGUUAUCCGGAUUUAUUGGGUUUAAAGGGUGAGCAGGGGGUCCGUUAAGUCAGAGGUCAAAGCCCGGGGCUCAACCCCGGCCCGGCCUUGGAAACUGGCAGUCUCGAGUUGGAGAGAGGUAUGCGGAAUUCGCGGUGUAGCGGUGAAAUGCGUAGAUAUCGCGCAGAACUCCGAUUGCGAAGGCAGCAUGCCGGCUCCACACUGACGCUGAGGCACGAAAGCGUGGGUAUCGAACAGGAUUAGAUACCCGUGUAGUC